GAUGAACGCUGGCGGCGUGCCUAAUACAUGCAAGUCGAGCGAACAGAUGAGGAGCUUGCUCCUCUGACGUUAGCGGCGGACGGGUGAGUAACACGUGGAUAACCUACCUAUAAGACUGGGAUAACUUCGGGAAACCGGAGCUAAUACCGGAUAAUAUAUUGAACCGCAUGGUUCAAUAGUGAAAGACGGUUUUGCUGUCACUUAUAGAUGGAUCCGCGCCGCAUUAGCUAGUUGGUAAGGUAACGGCUUACCAAGGCAACGAUGCGUAGCCGACCUGAGAGGGUGAUCGGCCACACUGGAACUGAGACACGGUCCAGACUCCUACGGGAGGCAGCAGUAGGGAAUCUUCCGCAAUGGGCGAAGGCCUGACGGAGCAACGCCGCGUGGGUGAUGAAGGUCUUCGGAUCGUAAAACUCCGUUAUUAGGGAAGAACAAAUGUGUAAGUAACUAUGCACGUCUUGACGGUACCUAAUCAGAAAGCCACGGCUAACUACGUG
rnacentral:rRNA from 1 species